rnacentral:rRNA from 1 species
UACGAGGGGGGCGAGCGUUGUUCGGAAUUAUUGGGCGUAAAGGGUGCGUAGGCGGUUCCGCAAGUCCUGUGUGAAAUCUUCGGGCUCAACUCGAAGUCUGCACGGGAAACUGCGGGGCUUGAGUGUGGGAGAGGUGAGUGGAAUUCCUAGUGUAGAGGUGAAAUUCGUAGAUAUUAGGAAGAACACCAGUGGCGAAGGCGGCUCACUGGAUCGGUACUGACGCUGAGGUGCGAAAGCGUGGGGAGCAAACAGG